GGUGUGCACUGUCGUGUCCGGGUCUACGUCUGGUUUCAAUCUAUAGUGCUCUUAACCGGGUGCUAUAAAAUGCCAGAAAGUUUACUCUGAAAAAAUUAGAGUGCUUAAAGCAAGCCGUUGUGCUUGGAUACUGUUGCAUGGAAUAAUGGAUAGGACUUCGGAUCUAUUUUGUGUGUCGGAGUCGAGGUAAUGAUUAGAGGGACAGACGGGGGCAUUCGUAUGCGCCGUUAGAGGUGAAAUUCUUGGAUCGGCGCAAGACGAACAACUGCGAAAGCAUUUGCCAAGGAUGUUUUCAUUAAUCAAGAACGAAAGUCAGAGGUUCGAAGACGAUCAGAUACCGUCGUAGUUCUGACCAUAAACGAUGCCAACUGGCGAUCCGCCGUAGUCUGGCUUAAAGGACUCGGCGGGCAGCCUCCGGGAAACCUAAGUCUAUGGGUUCCGGGGGAAGUAUGGUUGCAAAGCUGAAACUUAAAGGAAUUGACGGAAGGGCACCACCAGGAGUGGAGCCUGCGGCUUAAUUUGACUCAACACGGGAAAACUCACCCGGCCAGGACACCGUAAGGAUUGACAGACUGAGAGCUCUUUCUUGAUUCGGUGGGUGGUGGUGCAUGGCCGUUCUUAGUUGGUGGAGCGAUUUGUCUGGUUAAUUCCGAUAACGAACGAGACUCUAGCCUGCUAAAUAGACGGGCGAUCCCAUUGUGGGUCGACCCGAUCAGCUUCUUAGAGGGACAAGUGG
rnacentral:rRNA from 1 species